rnacentral:rRNA from 1 species
UGCCUUACACAUGCAAGUCGAACGGCAGGCACGGGAGCAAUCCUGGUGGCGAGUGGCGAACGGGUGAGUAAUAUAUCGGAACGUGCCCAGUCGUGGGGGAUAACGUAGCGAAAGCUACGCUAAUACCGCAUACCGAUCUAUGGAUGAAAGCGGGGGAUCGCAAGACCUCGCGCGAUUGGAGCGGCCGAUAUCAGAUUAGGUAGUUGGUGAGGUAAAGGCUCACCAAGCCGACGAUCUGUAGCUGGUCUGAGAGGACGACCAGCCACACUGGGACUGAGACACGGCCCAGACUCCUACGGGAGGCCAGCAGUGGGGAAUUUUGGACAAUGGGGCGCAAGCCUGAUCCAGCAAUGCCGCGUGCAGGAUGAAGGCCUUCGGGUUGUAAACUGCUUUUGUACGGAACGAAACGGUGAGCUCUAAUACAGUUUGCUAAUGACGGUACCGUAAGAAUAAGCACCGGCUAACUACGUG